UCCGAAAACUAUUCGUGACGAAACAUUGAAAUGUAAAUCAGAAUAAAUUAAAUUCAUUUGAAGUAAAAUAAAUUCCAUUAUACUCUAUUUUGACCAUAUGAUCAACACUUGUACAUAGUGCCAUUUACUUUGUGUUCUUCACUCUCGCGCUGUGUUGUGAUCGUUCGAAACUCAUUGCCAGAACGAAUGCAAAUUUCAUUUGGGAAGGAUUGGUGCUGGAAGAUGCAGCGAAAAUUAUAAAAUGUUUAUAGAAAAGUGGUUAAGUAAAUCGUGAAAGAUGUCAACGCAGGCGUAAAUGCAGUUUGUUUUGUCACUUGAUCUACGGGUAAGUGUAUGCAUAAGAAGAAGAAUCUUCCAAAUGAUGUUUGUGUUCUAACAAUCGUACUGCUUUUAAUGUUUGUUUAUUCUUCUAUUAUUUUCCAUCACACCUAGCUAUUUCAUUGCCAAAGCUCCUGAUAACAGAUCAAAGCAGAUGGAUCGGGCAUACAGAGUCGCCAUUUAACAUUAAAUAUCUUCUUGAUCGGCAAACGCAUCAAACACCAAGUGUUUCUCUUCCAACAGCACGCGCCAUCGGUGGAGCAAGCAGCCAACGUUUCGUUCGUCUAGCACGCACCAUCAAGAAUUGAAAUAUUCCCGAAUAGCUCUGUGAAUAAAAAACUGCACACUUACUGUCCGAAU